rnacentral:rRNA from 1 species
ACUCCUACGGGAGGCAGCAGUGGGGAAUAUUGCACAAUGGGCGCAAGCCUGAUGCAGCCAUGCCGCGUGUGUGAAGAAGGCCUUGGGUUGUAAAGCACUUUCAGCAGUGAGGAAGGCGGAGUCGUUAAUAGCGGCCUCGUUUGUACGUUAGCUGCAGAAGAAGCACCGGCUAACUCCGUGCCAGCAGCCGCGGUAAUACGGAGGGUGCGAGCGUUAAUCGGAAUUACUGGGCGUAAAGCGCAUGCAGGUGGUUUGUUAAGUCAGAUGUGAAAGCCCGGGGCUCAACCUCGGAAUAGCAUUUGAAACUGGCAGACUAGAGUACUGUAGAGGGGGUAGAAUUUCAGGUGUAGCGGUGAAAUGCGUAGAGAUCUGAAGG